UACGGAGGGUGCAAGCGUUAUCCGGAUUCACUGGGUUUAAAGGGUGCGUAGGUGGGUCUGUAAGUCAGUGGUGAAAUCUCCGGGCUUAACCCGGAAACUGCCAUUGAUACUAUAGGUCUUGAAUUUUCUGGAGGUUAGCGGAAUGUGUCAUGUAGUGGUGAAAUACUUAGAUAUGACACAGAACACCCAUUGCGAAGGCAGCUCGCUACACUGAUAUUGACACUGAGGCACGAAAGCGUGGGGAGCAAACAGG
rnacentral:rRNA from 1 species